rnacentral:lncRNA from 1 species
UCCCCAUUGUUAGGAGGCGCACGACUGUAUUUAGUCCAACAACUUGCUGAAAUGUGAUUCUACCAUUUUUCCAGUCAACUCCUAAGUUUUAAAUACCAUACAUCUGCCACCUUACCAGGCAGUUUCAACCAUAACAACAGAAGAAUACUCUUGGCAAAUAGAUCCCACUCUCUGAGGGUUGUGUUGGGGCUCAGAAAAUACUACCCCGAAGUAUGACACUUUGGCAUGCUGAAUACUUUGAACUAAAAGAGAUUGGAAGGCCUCAGAAGCAGCCUCGGAAGCAGUCUCUCCCUCUGAUCUCCUGCCCUUCUGUCUCCUGCCCAUCUUUCGUCCCAGAAGUGAGUCACAGAAACCAGAAUUCUUCCCCAAGCGCAGCUUAACUUGGACUCACCACCUAUCAAGUGCUCGACAGCCACGUGUGCAGUGGUUCCUACGUGGAGCAGCAUACAUCCAGAGAUGCAAAUAUUAAUGAGGACAGUGCUAGUAACAGAGUUGCUGAGCAAUCUAUGUCCCCUUGUAAGAACCAGUGCCCCAGGGGAAGAAACAGAACUCCACAAGGUAGCAGUGUGGGUGUAGUACCCGCAUGUGCCCAUGUUAUGGGAAUGUAGAUGGGGAGUGACCACCGCCAACAGAAGUGUGGCCAUCUUGCCCGAGAUGCCUGAGGACCUCCUAUUUUUAGAUGCUGCUGCCCAAGGCCUGUAUUUCAUGCUAUGGCUUUUGUCAUUUGAAUUAUCAGUAGCUGUCUCGGAGCUAUUACGCUUCACUGGGCCCUGGAGGAUAUUGUCUUAUACAGUCCACUGGGUUUUGGAUAUGCAGUCUGUGCCUUUCAUUGCCUUCCUGGAAAAUAAUAACUAAACUCUUCCUCACCAGG